CCCGCCCGGCCCCGCGCCUGGCCCCGGCCCUCCGAGCGGUGUCCUCCUCCUUCCCUUCUUUCCUCCCUCCCGGUUCUCCGCCCCGCUUCUCCUCCUCUUCCUCCGCCUCCCGCUCCUGCUCGCUCGGUCUCCGGCUCCGGCGCCGGCUCCUGCUCCUCCCGGCCGCCCGGGGCCAAGGCGACGAGAGGUUGUAAAAAUCCAUGUGGGACGGCCCCGGGGCGAGCAUCCGAAAGAUCUUUGAGUGGAGUUAUUUUCUGGUACGGACUGUGAAAAGAAUGUGGUGAAAAUUCUGGACAAUCGUGGAAAUAUUAGCUCAAACCCCAACUUAGUAUAGCAUUUCUUCUCUUCAGUAACACCUCAUAAUACAAGAAAAAUGUAUGGAAGUGCAAGAACAAUCACCAAUCUGGAAGGUAGCCCUUCCAGAUCCCCUCGUUUGCCAAGGUCUCCUCGUUUGGGCCACCGAAGAACAAGUAGUGGGGGAGGUGGAGGAACAGGCAAGACUCUGUCUAUGGAGAAUAUCCAGUCCCUCAAUGCAGCCUAUGCUACGUCUGGACCCAUGUAUCUGAGUGAUCAUGAAGGGGUGGCUUCAACAACUUACCCAAAGGGCACUAUGACUCUGGGAAGGGCUACGAAUCGAGCUGUAUAUGGAGGCCGUGUCACAGCCAUGGGGAGUAGUCCCAAUAUUGCUUCUGCUGGACUUUCCCACACAGAUGUCCUUUCAUACACAGAUCAACAUGGUGGGCUGACUGGCUCAUCCCAUCAUCACCACCACCAGGUCCCCUCCAUGUUGAGGCAGGUAAGAGACAGCACAAUGUUAGAUCUUCAGGCCCAGCUGAAAGAACUGCAGAGAGAGAAUGACCUCCUCCGGAAAGAGCUCGACAUCAAGGACAGCAAGUUGGGAUCUUCCAUGAACAGUAUUAAGACUUUCUGGAGUCCUGAGCUGAAGAAGGAGAGAGUGUUGAGGAAAGAAGAGGCAGCGCGGAUGUCUGUCCUCAAGGAGCAGAUGAGGGUUUCCCAUGAAGAAAAUCAGUUACUGGAUGCCAGAAGAACCAAGCACCUACAGUUGACAAUCCAAGCCCUUCAAGAUGAGCUGCGAACCCAGAGAGACCUCAACCACCUCCUCCAGCAAGAGAGUGGCAACCGAGGAGCGGAGCACUUCACCAUCGAGCUGACCGAGGAGAACUUCAGGCGGCUCCAGGCCGAGCAUGACAGGCAGGCCAAGGAGCUGUUCCUUUUGAGGAAGACAUUAGAGGAAAUGGAGCUGAGAAUUGAAACGCAGAAACAAACCCUCAAUGCCCGAGAUGAGUCGAUUAAAAAACUUCUUGAGAUGUUACAAAGUAAAGGCUUGCCGUCCAAAAGCCUAGAGGAUGACAAUGAGCGAACGCGACGGAUGGCAGAGGCUGAGUCUCAGGUCAGCCACUUGGAAGUGAUUUUAGACCAGAAAGAGAAGGAAAACAUACAUCUUAGAGAGGAAUUGCACCGAAGAAGCCAGCUUCAGCCGGAGCCAGCCAAGACGAAGGCUCUCCAGACUGUCAUCGAAAUGAAGGAAGCUUCAACUUUUAAUUUUGAUCCUGAUUUGGUCUGGCAGGACACAAAAAUCGCUUCAUUGGAGCGAAACAUAAGGGAUCUUGAGGAUGAGAUCCAGAUGUUAAAAGCCAAUGGUGUGCUGAACACUGAGGACCGCGAAGAAGAGAUCAAACAAAUUGAGGUUUACAAAAGUCACUCCAAGUUUAUGAAGACCAAGAUUGAUCAGCUGAAGCAGGAACUUUCAAAGAAAGAGUCAGAACUUCUUGCCUUACAAACAAAGCUUGAAACCCUUAGCAAUCAAAAUUCAGAUUGCAAGCAACACAUUGAAGUGCUCAAAGAGUCGCUUACUGCCAAAGAACAGAGGGCUGCCAUCCUUCAGACUGAGGUAGAUGCGCUGAGAUUACGACUGGAAGAAAAAGAAUCUUUCCUCAAUAAAAAAACGAAACAGCUGCAGGACCUCACAGAAGAGAAGGGGACACUGGCCGGUGAGAUUCGUGACAUGAAAGAUAUGUUAGAGGUGAAGGAAAGAAAAAUCAAUGUUCUUCAGAAAAAGAUUGAAAACUUGCAAGAACAACUUAGGGAUAAAGACAAGCAACUGACCAACCUGAAAGACAGAGUGAAGUCCUUGCAGACGGAUUCCAGUAAUACAGAUACUGCACUGGCGACGCUAGAGGAAGCUCUGUCAGAGAAGGAGAGAAUAAUUGAGCGCUUGAAAGAACAGCGAGAAAGAGAUGAUCGGGAAAGACUAGAAGAGAUAGAAUCCUUCCGAAAAGAGAACAAAGACCUGAAAGAGAAGGUCAAUGCUUUACAGGCUGAACUCACUGAGAAAGAGUCUAGUUUAAUUGACCUCAAAGAACAUGCAUCUUCAUUAGCCUCUGCAGGACUGAAAAGGGAUUCCAAAUUAAAGUCUCUAGAAAUAGCCAUCGAACAAAAGAAAGAGGAAUGUAGCAAAUUGGAAGCACAGUUAAAAAAGCAAGCUGAGCAGUUGUUCAAUCAGAUGUACAACCCAGCACAUAAUAUUGAAGAUGACUCCAGGAUGAACCCUGAGUUUGCAGACCGAAUAAAACAGCUAGAUAAAGAGGCGUCUUACUACCGCGACGAGUGUGGCAAGGCCCAAGCAGAAGUGGACCGGUUGCUGGAGAUCCUCAAGGAGGUGGAGAAUGAGAAGAAUGACAAGGACAAGAAGAUCGCAGAACUGGAGAGCUUGACUCUCAGGCAUAUGAAAGAUCAGAAUAAGAAGGUGGCCAACCUCAAGCACAAUCAACAGUUGGAAAAGAAGAAAAAUGCUCAGCUACUAGAAGAAGUCCGCAGGCGAGAAGAUAGCAUGGUUGACAACUCACAGCAUUUGCAGAUAGAGGAACUGAUGAAUGCACUGGAGAAGACCAGACAGGAACUGGAUGCCACCAAAGCACGCCUCGCCUCCACACAGCAGUCCCUGGCCGAAAAAGAAGCGCACUUGGCCAACCUCCGGAUUGAGAGGAGGAAACAGCUGGAGGAGAUCCUGGAGAUGAAACAGGAAGCGCUACUUGCAGCCAUCAGUGAAAAAGAUGCAAACAUUGCCUUGCUGGAAUUGUCUGCCUCCAAAAAGAAAAAGACGCAGGAAGAAGUCAUGGCCCUCAAGCGAGAAAAAGACCGACUAGUACAUCAAUUAAAGCAGCAGGUGGGGCCUUCUGCAAGACAGACCCAGAACAGAAUGAAGUUGAUGGCAGACAACUAUGAUGAGGACCAUCACCAUUACCAUCAUCACCACCAUCACCACCACCAUCGAUCUCCUGGGAGGUCGCAACAUUCCAAUCACAGGCCCUCUCCGGACCAGAUGAUCCAGCUCUGUCGGAGGCACGUAGGCACAGCCAAAUCUCAUGCUGUACAUUGAUCACCUGUCCAACCUUUGCCUAGAGUGGGAGCCCCCAGUUCCUUCGAGAUCCAACAUUACCUGUCUGUAAAGAAGAAGAGGAGGAGGGAGACAGCGGGGAGGAUCCGGUGGCAGUUUAACACCAGAGCAGGUCCAAUGUUUACUUUUACCCUUUUGGAGCUAUCAGAAGGGCUGAAUAAAGGAAACAUGCAGCUCUGCAGCAAUAUUCUGAUAAUCUAUUGCAGUGAGGCUCACAUCACUGGCCACCACCACCUGGAGCGGCUCAUCAGAACUGAAGGGGAGUUUUCACCUACAUUAUUGAGCGUGAUUCUGUUCUACUUGAUAUUUCCUUCAUCACCUCAUGUCAUUUCUCAUGGAUUUGGAUAUGAUGGAAAGGAAGAAUGCAGAGGAGGAGAAAAGUGACAGCUCCUCCAUUUUUGUCGGGAUGCGGGCAUUUUGAAUGUGAUCAUCUUUGCUGAAUGUCAUUAUUUGAUAACAUUUUGUUUAUGUUACUUAAACAUCAUUGGAUAAAUUUGAACUCCAUGGGAUUUUAACUAUGGAUUUAGCUUCUGUUGGACAACUAGCCUCAUCUCCAGUAUCCUGCUGGUUCAGUCUAAUCGGGCAUUCCUAAUGCAUUAGAUUAUCAAAAAGUGUAAAUUCGCUGUGAGUGAGUGGUGUUGGCAGUGCUUGUAUACCAUGAUGCAUGGAGUGUUUGACAAAGAAACAAAAACACCAAAAAUUGCGAGCCUUUACCCUCCUCUAUUUCUUUAAUCUGUUGUUUGAAGAACCGCAUUUUGAGGGUGUAACCAGUAGUUACCUCUGGGCCAGGUUGGAAAUGAAAUCAAUUUUUUAAACCACUAAUACUUGCCAAGAAAUCGCCUUACGAGAACAUGGUGUGUGUCUCUGACAAUGCAUGGCACAUCUAAAUUGAUCAUUCAUAAUUUUAUCCAGUACCCCGUCAUGUACUGGAGAGUGGCAAAAGCCUGAGGCACCUGCAUCUCUCUAGUCCCUGUGUUCUGCACAUCCCCACGGCGGGGACGCCACCAAGCCUCAGACUCUUUCCAUCCCGGUACAUGCAGGUCUCCAUGAAGAAGCUGGGACUCAUUCACAUUUCAAGAUCCAAAUGCUGUGCAAACAGUGUAAGCUUAGAUUUUCUGUAAAUGAAGGGUCAUUUCUCUUUUUUUUUUUCCUUUUAAAGAAAAUGUGUCUGCAACAUGGAUUCCAAAGCAUUUCAGCAUCAAACAUGAAAACAUUGAUGAAUGAGGAACAAUCACAAAAGCUGUGUCUCUGUAUAUAGCUCUACACAACAUGUAUGUGGAUACAGUCAUUAUUUAAAGCACAUGCCAGGGAAAAAGACCAAAUUUUGAGGUCUUUUACAUACAGUGAUAUGGUACUAAGGAGAAUUAAACUCCUGUUGCUUCCUCUGAAUAUUAAGAAAAAAUUAAAAUUGUUAUAACUUCAUAAAACUCAUGACUGAGUCUGGCAAACAUGUGCAACUCUUGUAUUGCUCCAUUUUCUUGUCAAUGGAAGAAACCCUUCCACGUGUAUGCAAGUGGGAGAUGAAAACCUGCAUUUUUAAAGGACAAACAGUGAAUUUAAGCAUGAGUGGCCUUAAUAAAUAUAGUUGUCUUUCUUUGCUGCUGUGGAAAGGAUUCUAAACAGAUGUCCCUGAAGUCUUGCAUUGAAUUUAGUCAUUAUUAUUACUUUUUUAAAUGUUGGUGCAAUUAACUCUGGACCUCUCUUGUGAGCCAUAGAGAUAUUUAAAAGACAAACACCUUAUUUGUCGGGGAAGAUGAAACUGUCCCUGAGUUGCACCAUUCUUUCUUGGUGCAUUCACGGUUAAGAUACUCAAGCAGGUUUCUUGCUUCAGGCUUUGUUCUUGUCAUCAGUAAGUAUAACCAACUAUGUAAUGCUUACAUGUUGCAUAAACAAUCCAAAUGCAUUCAUGUUUUAAAAGUUUGUCCUUUAACUAUCAGAGGGAUCUAGGUCUUGGUUAGAGAUGUAAGCAGAGUUCUUUGCAAGCUUAUUUAGCACAUUUUGACACAAUGUUGCACUGAAAACCCAGGCCACAAAUGCGUCCCAGUGAACAGUUUGAAUGUCCUCAAAAAGUGGUCCUCACUGCCUCCUACAACCAGGUCUUGACCUGAACUCUGCAACUGAAUACUUGAAGUAGGAAGUAGGAAAUCCAGUAGGGAAAAUGGGUCCUUGGAACAGAAAAAAAACCAACCAACCCAUAUAUAGCUAGCUAUUUCUAUGUAUGUGCCAAUUUUGUCACAGCUCUUGUUUGGAGGGAUCAUUUUCAGCCCAACUUUCGUUGGUUAAAAGUAAUAUUGAUCUUACCUUUAUGGGGGCACAUCAUUUAGUCCCUUAAAAUUUAAAUUCUCUCUAACAUAACAACCUUUCCCAUUUCAUGUAAUAAUCUCUGAUGUUUGGGGGGUUACCAAAAAUAUCCCUUUUUCACAUAUUAAGAAUAGUCUCUGGGUUUACAACAAACACUGUGAUGUUGGGAAGCUAUUUCCUUUGCGCGAACUUUAGCAGGUUUCCUUCUAAUCAUAACAUAGUUGAAAAAAGAUGUUUGGGCUAACAUUUAGGAGAAGUUGGUCUUUGUGCAAAAGCAGGCUUGUACUUGAUACCCCAUUUGAUUUCGAUGUUCAGUCUCAAUUUUGUAUUUAAUGAUUUUUGUGUAUCCAGUAUGCACGUUAGCAGCGUGUCAACUUUCAUUUGAAAGUGGGUUUCAAUUUACUUUUUAAACAGUGUUUAUGACGAGACCUCAAAUGUGUUGACAUAAGCUCUAUCUGCAAUGUUUUUGUGUAGAGUGGCGAUUGAAUGCUGCCGAGGGUCAGUGUAUCUAAUUCCCCGAGACCCUCGUUUGAUAGUGCUUCUUGUAAUAUUUCUUCAAGUGAGUGGCAUGUGGGUUGUGAUAUUGACCAUGUGAUUAUGGACAUCGAUAUGAAAAAUAAAUAAAUAAAACUAAGGAACCCUGGAAACUACCAGUGGGCAUGUAUUAGCCAGUCAUUGUAACCUCGUGUCUAGUAGAACAUUGUACAAGGUAUGUACAGUUCAUAAAUUUGUUAUCAUGUGUAUGAGAAGUACUUUGUGCUGAUCGCCUUAUUUAUAUUCAUCAAAUAAACCUCGUUUCUUUCUGAA